UAGAAUUUUCCAAAAUCCGGUGUCACAAGUGCACGAGCAUCUAGUAGAAUAUACAAAACUCCUUAAAAUCACUAUCUGAAACAGAAUAGACAGAAAUAGUAAAUAUAACAAGAGGAGGUUGCCGGUGGUGCAGAACGAAGCAUGAGAAGCAACUCACUACUAGACCUCCGGGUAGUGCGGGUGCGCGCCUGGACGAACACCAGAUGUACCUGCCUCAGCCUGUAGAAUAUGUGCACAAGUGUAGUGUACGUAAACAAUUGUACCUUAUAAGUAUCUAGUCUAACCUUGAAUAGGUAGUGACGAGGGGUCGACAUCGACACUUACUAGUGGUCAAUAUACAUAAUAUGCAACAAUUAUAAAUAUGCACGAAAUACAACAACAAUAAUGGAAUAAGAGGCAAUAAUCUAAAUGAUUCUUUAACAUAAUAACAAAUUAAAAAUUCCCAAAUAUCACAUGCUAAUAUCAACAAGUAAAGGCCAACAUGUAUUUACAAAUUCUCAAGUCAUGAAGGAUAUAUCGAGUAUAAUCGGACUCCUAGCGACAACAUGCACGAAUUAUGCUGAGGUCGUACGGCCCGAUCCAUAACAAUCGUGUACAUACACUACCGAUAUCGUAUGGCCUGAUCCAUGGAUGCAUCACAUAAUAUAUAUAAAUAUUGUCGAAGCGUUCGGCUUGAUCUAUAGGAAUAGAGAAACUCUUCGGACUACAAAUUAUGUGUUUACAACUCCAAGGUAAGCCCAUAAAAGAAUAUAAAUUUCCAUCAAUAAUUAAGCAUUUAAUCAAAUAUCUAAGUAAUGAAGUUCGAUUUAACGUAUCUUUAACCAAAUUUUACUUAUUAAUACAAGCAUUUAAGUUAGCAAGUUGAGUUCAAAUAGUGCAAGUAAUUGUAUAAUAAAGGCAUAUGUCUACCCGGACAUUAACAUGAAUUUUAGCUACGCACGGACUUUCGUCACUUCAUGCGUGCGCAACACCAACAACCAGAAGUAAAUAACAAUUUAAAUACCUACGGGAUUAAUUUCCUCUUACAAGGUUAGACAAGAUACUUAUCUCUAUUUCAAGCCCACUUUCGAGUCCAUAAUUUGUACUAAAGCCUAAAACCGAUGCCACGCAAUCCGUAACUAGCCAAAUAUUGUACAAACUAAUUAAUAUGUGCUCAAAAAUUCAUAAUUUAACUAUUAGAGUAAUUACCCAACCCAAUUUGGAAGUUUGCUAAAAUUCACCCACGGGCCGAUGUGCCCAGAUUCCGAAAAUUUAUGUAAAUAAUUGUUACUCAUAAUCUCACGAACACAAAUAUAUAAUUUCUACCCAAUUCCAUAAUUAUUUUCGUGGUCAAAUCUCAUUCUUAUCAAAAACCUAGAUUUUUCAACAAACUCCUAAGGUUUCCAUAUUUUACAUGUUAAAAUUUACCCAUAAUCUAUGUAUUAAAUUCACAUUUGGUACGAAUUACUUACUUUCAAUAGCUAGGUGAAAACCCAUCUCCAAAAAGCUCCAAAAUUGGCCAAGGAAAAUGAAAAUAAGAGAAAAUGGCCUAAGUCCCAUUUUCAUAAAGACACUGCCUAGAUUUUUCCUUCUUCGCGAUCGCGAAGGCAAUGCGGCCAAGGGCUAAAAAAUUGCACAUUGCAAACACAAUCCAAGCCCAGUGAACGCGAAAGCUUGCCUGGCAUGCCCUAUGCGAAUGUGAGGGCUUCUUCCCGAACGCGAAGACCAACAGUGUGCCACCCCCUAGAUUGCCUUACCCUUCGCGAAUGCGGACCACCUCAUGCAAAUGUGAAGGCCAGUGGAAUAGAGUUUCGCAAUCGCGAUCUCCUUAACGCUAACGUGAAGAACAAAUUUCCCCAGUCCAAUUUCCUUCACACAAAUGCGAGACCUUCUCCGCAUUCGCGAAGAAGGAAACCAGAACAGCAGAUAGCAGAUUUUUGAACUCAACUCCGGGUGGUCCGAAACUCACCCAGGCCAUCUAGGACCCCGUCCAAUUAUACCAACAAGUCUAUAAAUAUAAUAAAGACAUGCUCGAACCCUUGGAAUACGUAAAAAAUAUCAAAACUAAGAAUCGCACCCCAAAACCAAAUUGAUCAACUUAUGAACUUAAACUUCUUCAACUAACUCUGAACGCGUCGAAUCAUACUUAGACAACUCGGAUUGACACCAAAUUUUGCGUACAAGUCAUAAAUCACCAUACUAAACUAUUCGUAGGCUCGGAAUCUCAAACGGACCUCGAUAACACCAAAGUCUACUCCAAACCAAAUUUAAAGAAUUAGAAAACCUUUAAUGAACCAACUUUCAAAAUUAAGCGUCGAAACGCUCCCGGAUCACCUGAAACCCAAUCCGAACACACGCCCAAGUUCAAAAUUAUUAUAUGAACCUAUUGGAACUAUCAUAUUCCGGUUCUGAGGUCGAUUACUCAAAAUGUUGACUCAAGUCAAACUUAGUCAUCUUAGGCCACUAUUAAGGAACUAAGUGUUCCGAUUUCAACCUGAACCCUUCCGAACCCAAACCAACUAUCCCGCAAGUCAUAAAAUAUUAAAAACACGUACGAGGAGUCUUAAUUAGGGAAUAGGGAUCUAAAAAGAUAAAUGACUGGCCGAAUUAUUACAAUUUUUAUUAUAAACCAAUAUAAAACUAAAAAAUAGAUAUCCAACACUAUCGUCAUUCCUAGUGUUGAAUUAAAUUUCUUUUGUUAGUAUUAAUAUUGAUUUGAACUUUGUUUGAGUUACUACAUUUAUGAGCUAUAAAAUUUAUUUACCAUUCAAGAAUAUUAAGUCCAAUCUUAAAAUAAUAUAUUAAAAGAUAAAACUCUAAAAAAAAAUUAAGAAAUAUUUAUAAAUUAUAUUACAAUAAAUAUUUAUAUGUAUAAAAUAUUUUUAAAAAUUAUAUAAAUAUACUAUCGAGUUGGUUUGAUUUUGGUUUGACUUUGUUUAGUUAAAACUAAACCAAACCAACUAUGGUCGGGUUUCUUUUUUCAAUACCAAAUCAUAUCAAACCAAACCAUAAUCGAAUUUUUCUUUUCUGGUUUGACUCGGAUUAUCGAUUUGGUGCGAUUUAUCAGUUUUCUUUGUACACCCCUAUAGAAUAUAUAACCAGUGCGGAGGCAGAAUUACUUGCCAAGGGGACUCAAAAAAAGGAAAAUCUUAAAAAGGCUGUAGCUAGUGGGAAUAGAACCAAUGAUCUUACAAAAAUUUCGAACCCUCUUAACCACUAAGUUAUGCUUUUGGUAUAUAUGAGGGGGAUUCAAAAUAUAAUAUAUAGAGGUACAAGUCAAAUUUUACUUUAUACAAUAUAAUUUUUCGACGAAGGAGGUUCGGGGAACACCCUUCCGCCCCUGUAUAUAACAUACAUGUUUUUGUUUCCUAGUGAGGUUUAAUAAUACAACCUUUAAACGACGUUCUUUUAGAUAGUGCUCUCCUUUCUCUUUUGCUCUGUAAAAAAAGGUUAUCAUUUUGUGUUAACCUUUUCAAAACCUAGACAUAUAAAUGCACAUAAAGUAAGUUCUCUUUUGUUUUUAUGUACUUCGUUUCACUAUUAGAAAGAUAGCAAAAAUUUCAGUCCGCCCCGCAUCACCCGCAUAUUAUUCGCACCUGUGUUCACUCGUCCCGUAUCAACACUCGUUUCCACCUAUCCCGCCUUGCUCCGCUUAAGUUUUUUUUUUCCUUUUUAUUUUGUUAGUUUUAUUAUUUUAAUCUUUUGGUUGAAACAUUUUUACACGUUUACAUAUGUACUCAUACUUUUUAUUAAUCUUAAAAAUUAUGAGAAGCUUUCGCUAAGGAAAAAAGAAGAUAAGAUACUUACAAAAAAUUAUAUCUUGUACAUAUCAAAUAAAAGUUACUUAACAAAAAAUCUUUGAUAUUACAAUAACUAUUUGCUUUUUUAACCUUUUAUAUUGAAUAAAGUAUAUAUGUUAUUUUUACGCUAUUCAAGCUAAAUUAGAAAUUAAAAAAAAACCUCCGUCGAAAUCAAUUAAUUGAUAUUUAACUUAUACUGACUUAUUUUCUUUUUGGUUUGUUCAAAAAAGAAUGACCCCUUUCUAAAUUUGGUAAUAAUUUUGCUUAAACUUACAGUUCUAUCCUUAAUGAGAAGGUUUUAUAACCAUACAAAUACUCUGGGCCCAUUUUUGACUUGCUUAGGACCACAUAUUUCAAAAGUUUUCAUUUUUUCUUAAAUUUCGUGCCGAGUCAAACAGGUUCACAUAAAUUGAAACGGAGGGAGCAUAGUUAAAGAAUUGUUUUCUUUGGUAUACAAAAACACAUAUACUAUAUCAUCUUUAAAAUGUUUCAGUAUCUUGUUUCUUGCUUCUUUUCGAUUACAUAAGCAAUGUAGAAGGGGAUAUGGUAAUCAUUUAUCGAAACCAAAUUUAUUUUCACUCUAUUAGUAUUUAGAAAGAAAAAUGCAUAGAAAGUUUUAUUCUUCUCUUUUCUUAAGUUUUAAGUGAUUUUAAUUAAUUUUACGUUUAAUGCAGUCUCUCAAUAUAUAAUUUCAGAGAAAGAAAGAAAUCAGUUCUUGAGAAAGGUAUACUUAAAAAGAAAAAAUUCAAUUCAAUCCUUCUAAACUCACCAACUUGGUAAAUAUUAAAUUUAUUCACAAAGAUGGGAAUAUUUAAGUGGGAAUCAUGAUUCCAAUCACGUGCAAAUAAUGAAUUUUAAUGGUGUUCUGACAGAACAUUUUAAAUGAAAAUGUUUGAAAUGUAUCCUAAUUAACAUUGAAAUCUGAGGUUACCUCCGGAUCGAAUGUUUUUUCCUGGACCAGAUAAGAUCCAGAUAUGUUCAGAUUCAAUCUCAUCAGCUCGAGCAAUUGUUCAUCCCAACAGAGUCAGUUUCAAAAGCGAAGGGAGGAAAAUUCACAACCCGCGCUGCACCGCACUAGAUUCUGAAAGAAAAUUCUCAAUACGCCCUGCCUCGCACCGUAGCUGCAUAAGACCAAACCCGCCCCGCCCGUAUAAGACAAAAC
rnacentral:lncRNA from 1 species